rnacentral:lncRNA from 1 species
UCAUUCUGACAGCAUAUAUACACACACACAUUUACAAGAGCUAUAUAGAACCUAAUUUCUGAAGUCAUACUGCAGUUGUUUAGAAUUCAUAGAUUUUGCCUUAACUGUAUUGUGCUGUGUUGAUUCAGAUAAGCACAUCCUCUAGGCUUGCACCGCUGCUGUGCUCACUGGUUGGGUCCUCACGUAUGAUAAUGGAGACUGUUCUGGGGCUGUCACGAGGCACAUCUUGGAAAGCUCUGGAAUCAAAACCUCAUGUGAUGUGUCAUACAAUGUAAGUUUAUUGGACUGGCUAUGUAUCAUAAUGUGUUGGAUCUCAUACAUUUGAAAAACAACACUUCAUCAGUCUUUAAAUGAUGUGAUCUGCAGCAUGACGACAUACGUGAAGUUCUGACCCCGCUGCUGGGACAAAACUAUGAUUUGCAAUGUGUGACGGACAACGAGGUGAGAGAAUUCAAUGUUAAAGUCGAGAAUAUCAAGAAAUACAGUUUUAUAGAGAUCCUCAACUGAACUAUCCCGAAAUCCCGAGGUUUAGGCCUAAAAACACAUUUGUACAUUGCUUCCUGUCCAGCAGAUGGCACUAGAUAAUAAAUCAUAUUCAGUCAUAUUUUUGUGAAUAUGAAUUAGCCUUUUUUUUGUGAUUAGAGACACGUCUUCGUGGGCGUCACGCAAAAACAGCGCGUGUGGACUGAUUCACGAACAAAUAAUGAAUAGAGAUAAAAGUGUAACCAGAAUCAUAAAAUAAAUGCAUCUUAUAAGUCAGUUCUUUUAAUUAAUAGUUCAGAAGACGAGUUAUGAUUCAGCUGUUAAAUAUUGUAUAAAUUUAACAUUCUCGAGAGUUUCUUUCAUAUGGGAAGCAAAAACUUAAUUAUAACGGAAAUAUAGGCCUACUCAGAUAAAUUAGGACUGUAAAAUCUCUACUAAUACACAGGUUUAAUAACAUUAAUAAAUUAUGAGAAAUACAUUACAAUCAAAUUUAAACAAAAGGCAUAAAUGUUCUUUCUUAAUU